UAGGGAAUCUUCCGCAAUGGACGCAAGUCUGACGGAGCAACGCCGCGUGAGUGAAGAAGGAUUUCGGUUCGUAAAACUCUGUUGUUAGAGAAGAACAGCGCAUAGAGUAACUGUUAUGCGUGUGACGGUAUCUAACCAGAAAGCCACGGCUAACUACGUGCCAGCAGCCGCGGUAAUACGUAGGUGGCAAGCGUUGUCCGGAUUUAUUGGGCGUAAACCGAGCGCAGGCGGUCAAUUAAGUCUGAUGUGAAAGCCCCCGGCUCAACCGGGGAGGGUCAUUGGAAACUGGUUGACUUGAGUGCAGAAGAGGAGAGUGGAAUUCCAUGUGUAGCGGUGAAAUGCGUAGAUAUAUGGAGGAACACCAGUGGCGAAGGCGACUCUCUGGUCUGUAACUGACGCUGAGGCUCGAAAGCGUGGGUAGCAAACAGG
rnacentral:rRNA from 1 species